rnacentral:misc_RNA from 1 species
GAUGAAGAACGUAGCGAAAUGCGAUAAGUAAUGUGAAUUGCAGAAUUCAGUGAAUCAUCGAAUCUUUGAACGCACAUUGCGCCCGCCAGUAUUCUGGCGGGCAUGCCUGUCUGAGCGUCAUUUCAACCCUCAUGCCCCUAAGGCGUGGUGUUGGGGAUCGGCCAAAGCCCGCGAGGGACGGCCGGCCCCUAAAUCUAGUGGCGGACCCGUCGUGGCCUCCUCUGCGAAGUAGUGAUAUUCCGCAUCGGAGAGCGACGAGCCCCUGCCGUUAAACCCCCAACUUUCCAAGGUUGACCUCAGAUCAGGUAGGAAUACCCGCUGAACUUAAGCAUAUCAAUAAGCGGAGGA